AUUUCCUGUCAUAUCUGGAUGUAAGCUCUAACAAUUGGAUGCAAUUGGAUCACGUCCGAUCUCAGAAGCCAAUCAGGGUUGGGCCUGGUUAGUACCUGGAUGGGAAUACCAGGUGCUGUAAGUU
rnacentral:rRNA from 1 species